rnacentral:rRNA from 1 species
UACGUAGGGGGCAAGCGUUGUCCGGAAUCAUUGGGCGUAAAGCGCGCGUAGGCGGCUCGAUCAGUCUGCUGUAAAAGUCAAAGGCUCAACCUUUGAAUGCCGGUGGAUACUGUCGGGCUCGAGUCCGGAAGAGGCGAGUGGAAUUCCUGGUGUAGCGGUGGAAUGCGCAGAUAUCAGGAGGAACACCAACGGCGAAGGCAGCUCGCUGGGACGGUACUGACACUGAGGCACGAAAGCGUGGGUAGCAAACAGG